rnacentral:rRNA from 1 species
AUUGAACGCUGGCGGCAGGCUUAACACAUGCUAGUCGAGCGAGCGGCGGACGGGUGAGUAAUGUCGGGGAAACUGCCUGAUGGAGGGGGAUAACUACUGGAAACGGUAGCUAAUACCGUAUACUAUCAGAUGUGCCCAGAUGGGAUUAGCUAGUAGGUGGGGUAAUGGCUCACCUAGGCAACGAUCCCUAGCUGGUCUGAGAGGAUGACCAGCCACACUGGAACUGAGACACGGUCCAGACUCCUACGGGAGGCAGCAGUGGGGAAUAUUGCACAAUGGGCGCAAGCCUGAUGCAGCCAUGCCGCGUGUAUGAAGAAGGCCUUCGGGUUGUAAAGUACUUUCAGCGAGGAGGCGUUACCCGCAGAAGAAGCACCGGCUAACUCCGUGCCAGCAGCCGCGGUAAUAC